UUUAAUUGAAGAGUUUGAUCAUGGCUCAGAUUGAACGCUGGCGGCAGGCCUAACACAUGCAAGUCGAACGGUAACAGGGAGCAGCUUGCUGCUCUGCUGACGAGUGGCGGACGGGGUGAGUAAUGUCUGGGAAACUGCCCUAUGG
rnacentral:rRNA from 1 species